AUUGAACGCUGGCGGCAUGCUUUACACAUGCAAGUCGAACGGUAACAGGCCGCAAGGUGCUGACGAGUGGCGAACGGGUGAGUAAUGCAUCGGAACGUGCCCAGUCGUGGGGGAUAACUACUCGAAAGAGUAGCUAAUACCGCAUACGAUCUAUGGAUGAAAGCGGGGGACCGUAAGGCCUCGCGCGAUUGGAGCGGCCGAUGUCAGAUUAGGUAGUUGGUGGGGUAAAGGCUCACCAAGCCAACGAUCUGUAGCUGGUCUGAGAGGACAAACAGCCACACUGGGACUGAGACACGGCCCAGACUCCUACGGGAGGCAGCAGUGGGGAAUUUUGGACAAUGGGCGCAAGCCUGAUCCAGCAAUGCCGCGUGCAGGAAGAAGGCCUUCGGGUUGUAAACUGCUUUUGUACGGAACGAAACGGCUCUGGUUAAUACCCGGGGCUAAUGACGGUACCGUAAGAAUAAGCACCGGCUAACUACGUG
rnacentral:rRNA from 1 species